UAAGGAAUAUUGGUCAAUGGACGAAAGUCUGAACCAGCCAUGCCGCGUGGAGGAUGAAGGUCCUCUGGAUUGUAAACUUCUUUUAUAUGGGACGAAAAAAGGCUUUUCCAGGUCGUCUGACGGUACCAUAUGAAUAAGCACCGGCUAACUCCGUGCCAGCAGCCGCGGUAAUACGGAGGGUGCAAGCGUUAUCCGGAUUCACUGGGUUUAAAGGGUGCGUAGGUGGGUUAGUAAGUCAGUGGUGAAAUCCCCGAGCUUAACUUGGGAACUGCCAUUGAUACUAUUAAUCUUGAAUACCGUGGAGGUCAGCGGAAUAUGUCAUGUAGCGGUGAAAUGCUUAGAUAUGACAUAGAACACCAAUUGCGAAGGCAGCUGGCUACGCGAAUAUUGACACUGAGGCACGAAAGCGUGGGGAUCAAACAGGAUUAGAUACCCUGGUAGUCCACGCCCUAAACUAUGGAUACUCGACAUCAGCGAUACACUGUUGG
rnacentral:rRNA from 1 species